rnacentral:tRNA from 1 species
CUCGGCUACGAACCGAGCGGUCACAGGUUCGAAUCCUGUCGAGUGCA